UUCGGGUCGCCGGCGAGUGGCGAACGGGUGAGUAACACGUGGAUACCUGUCCCGUGGUGGGGAAUAACGUUUAGAAAUGAACGCUAAUACCGCAUACGCCCUAUGGGGGAAAGAUUUAUCGCCAUGGGAGGGGUCCGCGUCGGAUUAGCUUGUUGGUGGGGUAAUGGCCUACCAAGGCGACGAUCCGUAGCUGGUCUGAGAGGAUGAUCAGCCACACUGGGACUGAGACACGGCCCAGACUCCUACGGGAGGCAGCAGUGGGGAAUAUUGCGCAAUGGGGGAAACCCUGACGCAGCAACGCCGCGUGGGUGAAGAAGGCCUUAGGGUUGUAAAGCCCUUUCAGUGGGAAAGAUGAUGACGGUACCCACAGAAGAAGCUCCGGCUAACUCCGUGCCAGCAGCCGCGGUAAUACGGAGGGGGCAAGCGUUGUUCGGAAUUACUGGGCGUAAAGGGCGCGUAGGCUGUUGUGCAAG
rnacentral:rRNA from 1 species